rnacentral:rRNA from 1 species
CCUACGGGUGGCUGCAGUGGGGAAUAUUGCACAAUGGGGGAAACCCUGAUGCAGCGACGCCGCGUGAGUGAAGAAGGUAUUCGGUUUGUAAAGCUCUGUCAGCAGGGAAGAAAAUGACGGUACCUGAGUAAGAAGCCCCGGCUAAUUACGUGCCAGCAGCCGCGGUAAUACGUAGGGCGCACGCGUUAGCCGGAUUUACUGGGUGUAAAGGGGGCGUAGACGGGAGUGCAAGUCUGGGGUGAAAGGCGGGGGCUCAAACCCCGGACUGCUCUGGAAACUGGACGGCUGGAGUGCAGGAGAGGUAAGUGGAAUUCCUGGUGUAGCGGUGAAAUGCGUAGAUAUUAGGAGGAACACCAGUGGCGAAGGCGGCUUACUGGACUGUAACUGACGUUGAGGCUCGAAAGCGUGGGGAGCAAACAGGAUUAGAUACCCUGGUAGUC